rnacentral:rRNA from 1 species
GACGAACGCUGGCGGCGUGCUUAACACAUGCAAGUCGAACGGAAAGGCCCUGCUUUUGUGGGGUGCUCGAGUGGCGAACGGGUGAGUAACACGUGAGUAACCUGCCCUCGACUUUGGGAUAACUUCAGGAAACUGGGGCUAAUACCGGAUAGGAGCUCCUGCUGCAUGGUGGGGGUUGGAAAGUUUCGGCGGUUGGGGAUGGACUCGCGGCUUAUCAGCUUGUUGGUGGGGUAGUGGCUUACCAAGGCUUUGACGGGUAGCCGGCCUGAGAGGGUGACCGGCCACAUUGGGACUGAGAUACGGCCCAGACUCCUACGGGAGGCAGCAGUGGGGAAUAUUGCACAAUGGGCGGAACCCUGAUGCAGCAACGCCGCGUGCGGGAUGACGGCCUUCGGGUUGUAAACCGCUUUCGCCUGUGACGAAGCGUGAGUGACGGUAAUGGGUAAAGAAGCACCGGCUAACUACGUG